UAACCGGAUUAGAUACCCUGGUAGUCCACGCCGUAAACGAUGGAUACUAGCUGUUCGGACUUUGGUCUGAGUGGCCCAGCGAAAGUGAUAAGUAUCCCACCUGGGGAGUACGUUCGCAAGAAUGAAACUCAAAGGAAUUGACGGGGGCCCGCACAAGCGGUGGAGCAUGUGGUUUAAUUCGAUGAUACGCGAGGAACCUUACCAGGGCUUAAAUGUAGAGUGACAGGUCUAGAGAUAGACUUUUCUUCGGACACUUUACAAGGUGCUGCAUGGUUGUCGUCAGCUCGUGCCGUGAGGUGUCAGGUUAAGUCCUAUAACGAGCGCAACCCCUGUUGUUAGUUGCCAGCAUGUAAAGAUGGGAACUCUAACAAGACUGCCGGUGCAAACCGUGAGGAAGGUGGGGAUGACGUAA
rnacentral:rRNA from 1 species